rnacentral:rRNA from 1 species
UACGAAGGGGGCGAGCGUUGUUCGGAAUUACUGGGCGUAAAGGGCACGUAGGCGGCCGAUCAAGUCAGAUGUGAAAGUCCUGGGCUUAACCUGGGGACUGCAUUUGAUACUGAUUGGCUUGAAUGCAGGAGAGGAUAGCGGAAUUCCCAGUGUAGAGGUGAAAUUCGUAGAUAUUCGCAAGAACACCAGUGGCGAAGGCGGCUCACUGGCCCGAUACUGACGCUGAGGUGCGAAAGCGUGGGGAGCAAACAGG